UCGAUGGACGACGUCUGACGGAGCACGCCGCGUGAGUGAAGAAGGCCUUCGGGUCGUAAAACUCUGUUGCCGGGGAAGAACAAGUGCCGUUCGAACAGGGCGGCGCCUUGACGGUACCCGGCCAGAAAGCCACGGCUAACUACGUGCCAGCAGCCGCGGUAAUACGUAGGUGGCAAGCGUUGUCCGGAAUUAUUGGGCGUAAAGCGCGCGCAGGCGGCUUCUUAAGUCUGAUGUGAAAUCUUGCGGCUCAACCGCAAGCGGUCAUUGGAAACUGGGAGGCUUGAGUGCAGAAGAGGAGAGUGGAAUUCCACGUGUAGCGGUGAAAUGCGUAGAGAUGUGGAGGAACACCAGUGGCGAAGGCGGCUCUCUGGUCUGUAACUGACGCUGAGGCGCGAAAGCGUGGGGAGCAAACAGGAUUAGAUACCCUGGUAGUCCACGCCGUAAACGAUGAGUGCUAAGUGUUAGAGGGUUUCCGCCCUUUAGUGCUGCAGCUAACGCAUUAAGCACUCCGCCUGGGGAGUACGGCCGCAAGGCUGAAACUCAAAA
rnacentral:rRNA from 1 species